UUUGCGAGAAACCCCCUAUUUCCUUGAUUCUCCACCUGCUUCUCCGUUAGGGUUUCAAAGUAUGACGGAACUGAACGCGAAGCACCACCCUACUCUGACUCAAGCUCUGCUCUCUCGCGGCCCGACCAGUUCCACCGCACGUUCUCGGAACUCACCGGAGAAAACUCAGGUGUUCGAAGGAUGAUUAUCUUCUGAGGAUAAACAAGGGUUCAGUUCGAGUUGCGGGGAUGCAGGAAUCAAUAUGAAGAUAGAAGCUAUAGUGCAAGAAGCUGCUCAAGGAACCAUAUCUAGCAGUGAUGCUCUUAAUCUACGAUGAGAGAAUCAGGUUUGCAUUGGUAC
rnacentral:lncRNA from 1 species